rnacentral:rRNA from 1 species
CAGAGGGUGCGAGCGUUGUCCGGAAUCACUGGGCGUAAAGGGCGCGUAGGUGGCGCGACAAGUCCGUGGUGAAAGCUCGACGCUCAACGUCGAGUCGGCCACGGAUACUGUUGGGCUUGAGCACUGUAGAGGCAGAUGGAAUUCCGGGUGUAGCGGUGGAAUGCGUAGAGAUCCGGAAGAACACCGGUGGCGAAGGCGGUCUGCUGGGCAGUUGCUGACACUGAGGCGCGACAGCGUGGGGAGCAAACAGGAUUAGAUACCCUGGUAGUCCACGCCGUAAACGAUGGGCACUAGAUGCUUGGGGGAGCGACCCCCUGAGUGUCGACGCUAACGCAUUAAGUGCCCCGCCUGGGGAGUACGGCCGCAAGGCUG